AUGGAGCCCAUGGCGCCUUCCGAGGCCCACCGCGGCGGCAGCGGGUGCGCGCACGCCUUCUGUCGGGCGUGCCUGGCGGGCCAUGUCCGCGCCAAGGUCGAGGCCGGCGCGGCCGUCGUGCGGUGCCCGGGCGUGUCCUGCGCCGGCGCUCUCGACCCGGAGUUGUGCCGCGCCGCCCUCCCGGCCGACCUGUUCGUGCGGUGGUGCGGGCUGCUAUGCGAGUCCAUGUUCCUCGGGGCGCGGCGGACCUACUGCCCUUUCCCCGACUGCUCCGAGAUGAUGGUGGCCGACGACGACGGUGGCGGCGUGUCCGAGGGGUGUGUGACGCAGUCGGAGUGCCAGGUGUGCAGGCGGCUGUUCUGCGCGCAUUGCGCGGUGCCGUGGCACGCCGGCGUGAGCUGCGCUGAGUUCGCGCAGCUCGGCGCUGGGGAGCGCGGCCGUGAGGAUCUGCUGCUCGUUGAGGCCGCCAGGGAGUGCAAAUGGAAGCGCUGCCCGCGGUGCCGGUUCUACGUCGAGAAGUCCCAUGGCUGCCUGCACAUCACAUGCAGGUGUGGCUCUGAGUUCUGCUAUGGAUGUCAAAAGCCGUGGAAACUCGAACACGACGGCUGCCCUGGAGAAUGA
rnacentral:rRNA from 1 species